AUAGGUAUGUAUAGAGGUCCCCCGAUCACUUAUCUGGUGGUCAAUGCAGAAACUAGGGAUAGAUGAGUGGUUAGUGAGAGCUGUACAAGCCAUGUACAGGAAUGCUGACAGUGAAGUGAGGGUCGGCAACGAGCACAGUGAAGAAUUCCGGGUAGGAGCAGGG